rnacentral:rRNA from 1 species
ACAGUGAAACCGCGAAUGGCUCAUUAAAUCAGCUAUGGUUCCUUAGAUCAUUUCAUCCUACUUGGAUAACUGUAGUAAUUCUAGAGCUAAUACAUGCCUCGAAGUCACGACCUAACGGGAGUGAUGCACUUAUUAGAUCAAAACCAACCGGGCUUCGGCUCGCUGGCUUGAUGACUCUGGAUAACUUUCUACAGAUCGCACGGCCUUUGCGCUGGCGAUAGAUCUUUCAAAUGUCUGCCCUAUCAACUUACGAUGGUAGGUAACCUGCCUACCAUGGUUAUAACGGGUAACGGGGAAUCAGGGUUCGAUUCCGGAGAGGGAGCCUGAGAAACAGCUACCACAUCCAAGGAAGGCAGCAGGCGCGCAAAUUACCCACUCCCGGCACGGGGAGGUAGUGACGAAAAAUAACGAUACGGGACUCAAUCGAGGCCCCGUAAUUGGAAUGAGUACACUUUAAAUCCUUUAACGAGGACCCAUUGGAGGGCAAGUCUGGUGCCAGCAGCCGCGGUAAUCCCAGCU